rnacentral:rRNA from 1 species
GAAGUACGGCCGCAAGGUUAAAACUCAAAUGAAUUGACGGGGCCCGCACAAGCGGUGGAGCAUGUGGUUUAAUUCGAUGGAACGCGAAGGACCUUACUGGUCUUGACAUCCAUAGAAUUCUGCAGAGAUGUGGGAGUGCUUUCGGGAACUAUGAGACAGGUGCUGCAUGGCUGUCGUCAGCUCGUGUUGUGAAAUGUUGGGUUAAGUCCCGCAACGAGCGCAACCCUUAUUCUUUGUUGCCAGCGAUUUGGUCGGGAACUCAAAGGAGACUGCCGUUGAUAAAGCGGAGGAAGGUGGGGACGACGUCAAGUCAUCAUGGCCCUUACGACCAGGGCUACACACGUGCUACAAUGGCGUAUACAAAGGGAAGCGAAGGUGCGAGCUGGAGCGGAUCUCAUAAAGUACGUCUAAGUUCGGAUUGGAGUCUGCAACUCGACUCCAUGAAGUCGGAAUCGCUAGUAAUCGUAGAUCAGAAUGCUACGGUGAAUACGUUCCCGGGCCUUGUACACACCGCCCGUCACACCAUGGGAGUGGGUUGCACCAGAAGUAGAUAGCUUAACCGCGAGGGGGGCGUUUACCACGGUGUGAUUCAUGACUGGGGUGAAGUCGUAACAAGGUAACCA